AACGGCCAUGCGACGUUGAAAACACCGGUUCUCGUCCGAUCACCGCAGUUAAGCAACGCUUGUCAUGGUUAGUACUGACUGACCGUCUGGGGACAAUAUGUGCUGUU
rnacentral:rRNA from 1 species